UGCAUCGGCCGGGAAUCGAACCCUAGCCGCCCGCGUGGCAGGCGAGCAUUCUGCCCUUGAACCACUGAUAC